GACAAACGCUGGCGGCGUGCCUAAUACAUGCAAGUUGAGCGCUGAAGGUUGGUACUUGUACCGACUGGAUGAGCAGCGAACGGGUGAGUAACGCGUGGGGAAUCUGCCUUUGAGCGGGGGACAACAUUUGGAAACGAAUGCUAAUACCGCAUAACAACUUUAAACACAAGUUUUAAGUUUGAAAGAUGCAAUUGCAUCACACAAAGAUGAUCCCGCGUUGUAUUAGCUAGUUGGUGAGGUAAAGGCUCACCAAGGCGAUGAUACAUAGCCGACCUGGGAGGGUGAUCGGCCACAUUGGGACUGAGACACGGCCCAAACUCCUACGGGAGGCAGCAGUAGGGAAUCUUCGGCAAUGGACGAAAGUCUGACCGAGCAACGCCGCGUGAGUGAAGAAGGUUUUCGGAUCGUAAAACUCUGUUGGUAGAGAAGAACGUUGGUGAGAGUGGAAAGCUCAUCAAGUGACGGUAACUACCCAGAAAGGGACGGCUAACUACGUGCCAGCAGCAGCCGCCG
rnacentral:rRNA from 1 species